GACGAACGCUGGCGGCGUGCUUAACACAUGCAAGUCGAACGGAAAGGCCCUGCUUUUGUGGGGUGCUCGAGUGGCGAACGGGUGAGUAACACGUGAGUAACCUGCCCUUGACUUUGGGAUAACUUCUGGAAACUGGGGCUAAUACCGGAUAGGAGCUCCUGCUGCAUGGUGGGGGUUGGAAAGUUUCGGCGGUUGGGGAUGGACUCGCGGCUUAUCAGCUUGUUGGUGGGGUAGUGGCUUACCAAGGAUUUGACGGGUAGCCGGCCUGAGAGGGUGACCGGCCACAGUGGGACUGAGAUACGGCCCAGACUCCUACGGGAGGCAGCAGUGGGGACUAUUGCACAAUGGGCGGAAGCCUGAUGCAGCAACGCCGCGUGCGGGAUGACGGCCUUCGGGUUGUAAACCGCUUUCGCCUGUGACGAAGCGUGAGUGACGGUAAUGGGUAAAGAAGCACCGGCUAACUACGU
rnacentral:rRNA from 1 species